UACGGAGGGUGCAAGCGUUAAUCGGAAUUACUGGGCGUAAAGCGUGCGCAGGCGGUUUGUUAAGUCUGCUGUGAAAUCCCCGAGCUCAACUUGGGAAUUGCAGUGGAUACUGGCAGGCUGGAGUAUGGUAGAGGAAGGUGGAAUUCCCGGUGUAGCGGUGAAAUGCGCAGAUAUCGGGAAGAACACCCGUGGCGAAGGCGGCUCUCUGGGACGGUACUGACGCUGAGACGCGAAAGCGUGGGGAGCGAACAGG
rnacentral:rRNA from 1 species